UAUUUUAAGAAAAUGUUAAAACCCAAAAAUCGAAUUUUUUGAAAUUUCUAGGUAGGCUUCCCUUCUUAAUAAGUGUGACUUGGCCGCUGGAAGGGGGGAGGCGAAACGUUGUCCGAACUUCCCUCGAUGGCGGGCGACCGUCACAGGCACUUGGUUCGUUACACUAAUUAUCACUCACGUAAACUCGCGUCACGGCAUUCCCGCGACGCUUGCUUGACUCGCCCGUCGUUCGCACGACGACGGAGAUGACGGCUUUACAAAAGAAUGCUCGGCUCACCAACUACGCUGGCUAUGGUCUCGGCAGGUUGACGACUCUCGGAUUCACGUCCGUUCAGUAUGAGCGCACCACGAUAAGUGAUCACUCGCGCCCUCACGGAACACACGCAGGCGAUCGUCGUCUACCUCUCGCAAUUUUCUAUUGGCCGAAAAUCGGCUAAUCGCGUGGCCCUAAUCGACCGCGCACCUAGUGAUGCUAAUUUCAAGACGAGAGUCAUGAGAGAGCCAGGGAGUGGGGAUGCCGCACACAACGAGAAAGCAUGAUCGGAAUGCGAAGAAUAUAUUCAUCAAUUGAUAGACACGCAAACAUGGUUGCAACUAUUCGAGAGCAACUUCGAGAGAAUUGUUUGCGAUUUUACAUAACUGCAGCUGAAGAAAUUUCCAAAA